AGUGUUAGCAAUACUGCACAUGCAACUAAAUUGCGUAAUGAUAAAAAUUAAACUGAAAGUUGCUAAAAUUAUAUGUGCAUCCAUGAAGGAGAAUUAUUUUGACUGGGAAUGGGUAUUUCUGGUUACAACCAUGCACAGUAUGUCAUUACUGUGAUAUGACAUCCGUGUCGCAAUUUCUUCGGCGUUUCGCAAGUCAACGGCAUUGAAAAGCCCAUCCAAGCGGCAAUAUCCUAUAUUAUUUUGUCCUUGGCAAACAGUGGAAACAAAACAUCGAAGGUUGGCAAUUCCUGGCCAUCGAGCGGUGCAGUCGCCAUCAUCAAAACACGGCUGUUUGAAAAAGCAACACAGCGGUAUUCGUUGAUGGCACCAUAGACGUUUCCUCUUUUGUAUGGAACUCUCACAAGCUGACAAGUCGUUCCCGCAUCAAGGCAGUCAUCGGUAACAACACAAGUUUGGGAGAGUUAAGGGCUUACCGGCUAGAGGCAGUUGAAGAGUGGCGUUCCAGUUCGAUACGUGGAUGCGGUAGGCUAAGGAAGGAACAUACUUGCCGGCAUACGAUUCUCCCGUUAUGUACAGUUCUCCCGUUUGAAAUUGCGGAAACAUGGUAUAGAACUGCAACAGUGCUUCAUAGAGAUUCAUGCUAACUUGCUUCUGAUUUCUGGAAUAGCCAUCUGUCGUGUUGGUGAAGCUGAAUCCGGUUCCCACUGGAUUAUCGAUAUACAGCAUGUUGGCCAAUUUUGUCCAACGAUACGGUCUUGGCAGAGGAAUAAUUGAGUUCUGCAA